AAGCUUGCACCCUCUUUCUCUCAAUUAUCAUUGAUCGUUGCACCAAGGGCAAUUCAGAGGUUUAGGUUGUAUCAUGGGUUCAUAUGGCAGGUCCCACAAAAAAGAUGUACUAAGGUUAGUAGCUGCUACAACUGAAGCUAUUAUUCAUGUAACUGCAAGGUUUCUAUUGUUUGUCUUGGAAUGAAAUAAUAAUGCCAAGGUCCUUCAAAUGUUUCUAUUGUUUGUCUGGCUGACAGUGCCUUUUGUAGAAGCGUGUUUGCUUGUAGCUAUAAUUGAUUCCUAUUGUUUUCCUGAUCAUGGAACUACAAUGCUGACAAGACCAUGGUUCGCAUUAGCUAUUGUGGAAGCUUUUGUGCAUGUAGCUAUAAAAAAUACCAUUAUUGGUUAGCUAUUGUGGAAGCUUGUGUGCAUGUGCCAUGUAGCUUCAACUGCUUCAUUACCUUAUCUCAUUCUCUUAUCUUGAAAUUAAGAAAAAUCCUGAGGUUUUGAGAAGAAAGGUUCCCAUAUUGAGGACCCAAUGGUGUUUGUUCAUGAACUAGCAAGAAGCCAAAUUUUGAGAAAGGCUACCAUGGCUCACUAAUGAGGCCAAUCACCUAUUACAUGUUUAAGUUAAUCAUUUGCGUUAUUACAAACAUCUCCCGAAAUGGUCCAUUUUUAAUAAGGAAAAUAAACAUAUUCGUUGUUAACCUAUUUAGCUGGACUUCGGAGAAACAUGAAGAUAGCACAUUUACAUGCACAAACCAUUGGAGAACUCCAGCUGGUACUGUGAUCCAGCUAUUCAUUAUGUUUCCAGAUGGUUUGUGUGCAGACAUAAUUUCAGGCUAUCUUCAGUUGCUGCUCACUGUAGAUUCGACAGUGAAAUAUUUAGUUGACAAAUGAGAUAAAAAAGUUAGCCAUUUAAGCUGUGUUUCACAAACAGUCGGCAUUAGAAAAGUGAAUCAAAUUGCCUUCAUGGACAUAGAACAGUGUAUAGCAUAGACAGGGCAGUGAAAGCUGUAUGUGGCCAAGAUAUAAAUCUCACAGCUAAAACAUCACUUCCCUCCAGAAUUUCCACACCUUUUGUGCGAACAAACCGUGCUUUGACUGUUGUGCACUAUGAUGGAGAUUUUUUACGUUACCAUUUUGAUUACAGGAAGCUUGCACUCUCUCUCAAUUAUCAUUGGUCAUUGCGCCAAGGGCAAUUCAGAGUUUUAGGUUGUGUCAUGGGCUCAUAUGGCA
rnacentral:lncRNA from 1 species